AGAGUUUGAUCCUGGCUCAGGACGAACGCUGGCGGCGUGCUUAACACAUCCAAGUCGAACGGUAAGGCCCUUUCGGGGGUACACGAGUGGCGAACGGGUGAGUACCACGUGGGUAAUCUGCCCUGCACUUCGGGAUAAGCCUGGGAAACCGGGUCUAAUACCGGAUAUGAGCUCCUGCCGCAUGGUGGGGGUUGGAAAGUUUUUCGGUGCAGGAUGAGUCCGCGGCCUAUCAGCUUGUUGGUGGGGUAAUGGCCUACCAAGGCGACGACGGGUAGCCGGCCUGAGAGGGUGAUCGGCCACACUGGGACUGAGACACGGCCCAGACUCCUACGGGAGGCAGCAGUGGGGAAUAUUGCACAAUGGGCGAAAGCCUGAUGCAGCGACGCCGCGUGGGGGAUGACGGUCUUCGGAUUGUAAACUCCUUUCAGUAGGGACGAAGCGAAAGUGACGGUACCUGCAGAAGAAGCACCGGCCAACUACGUGCCAGCAGCCGCGGUAAUACGUAGGGUGCAAGCGUUGUCCGGAAUUACUGGGCGUAAAGAGCUCGUAGGCGGUUUGUCACGUCGUCUGUGAAAUCCUCCAGCUCAACUGGGGGCGUGCAGGCGAUACGGGCAGACUUGAGUACUACAGGGGAGACUGGAAUUCCUGGUGUAGCGGUGAAAUGCGCAGAUAUCAG
rnacentral:rRNA from 1 species